GGCAAGAACUCCUUCCUCAACUCUUGUGAAGCCAAGGAAGCAGCUGAGAUCUCUGCUAACGCUGUUGCAUCAAAGCAGGCCAACUUUCCUGAAAAUCAACUGCAGAACUCAGUUGUAAUAACUGCCAUCGUUGUUGACUAAUGAAGCCAAAGAGGGAGCCAGCACAAGGGUCAAUGAUCUGGGAAGUGGAAGAAAUUCUGAAAUGGAGUACUCCAUACAGUUUUUUCAACAGUCCUACCAACCAGAGCAGCAGGCCAAGACGGUGUGGCAGGCAGACCAACAGAAUGUUCUCCAGGACUUUAUCAAGGAACAGAUGGCCAUACAGCAUGGGAUACUGCAGAAUCUGAACAAUGAAAGAGGAAAAAGUCAACAAAUUAAGAAUAAAGGUUAAUAAGAAACACCAGAAUGAACAAAGUACAGAGG